rnacentral:rRNA from 1 species
UACGUAGGGUGCAAGCGUUGUCCGGAAUUAUUGGGCGUAAAGAGCUCGUAGGCGGUUCGUCGCGUCGGCUGUGAAAUCCCGAGGCUCAACCUCGGGUCUGCAGUCGAUACGGGCGGACUGGAGUUCGGCAGGGGAGACUGGAAUUCCUGGUGUAGCGGUGGAAUGCGCAGAUAUCAGGAGGAACACCGGUGGCGAAGGCGGGUCUCUGGGCCGAUACUGACGCUGAGGAGCGAAAGCGUGGGGAGCGAACAGG